GACGGCCACAUUAUGUUAAAACAUCGGUUCCCGUACGAUCACCAAAAGUUAAGCAUUUUGGAGCCUGGGCAGUACUUAGAUGGCUGAUCACUUGGGAAUAUCAGGUGCU